rnacentral:snRNA from 1 species
GGGCAGUAUCAUAGCCAAUGAAGUUAAUCUGAGGUGUGAUUAUUGCUAGUUGAAAACUGUUAAAAAAUACAUUUCAGAGAACAAAGGGGACACUCUUUCUCAGUGAAACAGGCAAUUCA